GGGGGACAGUUUUUUGGGGGGUAAAUGGAUUCGUGGCUCUGGUGGGAUUGGAGGUGCCCACAGCCGGCGAGGUGGGCUCCGCAUGGACUGAGGCUCCAAAAGCCUUUGAAUUUCUGGCACGGUGUAGGGAUGAUUUAGAACAAGUCAUUGAAUUGCUACCUCACCGCUCUCUCGCUCGCUCGCUCUCUCGCGCUCUCACCCUCGUUCUGCGUUCUGUCCGGGAGGAGUACGGAGAAGCCAAUAGGAUGCGGGGUCUCUAAUGGAUGCAAAUGAUCAUGAAAAGACAGUGCAAAAUAUGAAACAACUCAUUUGCAGGGAAGUAAAUCACCGAAAACUGUUUAUGAACUGGCAUCCUUUCUUCGAAAUGUAAAGCGAGGACCUCUUGAAGUGGCGGUAGAUUUUUGUUUGGGGGGUGGGGGGUGGGGGGAGGGCGCGCGAGCCGGCUGCCAUGCGAGCUUAGACUUUUGGAGGCUCCGCGGUCCUUCCCUAUUCCUGGAAAUCGCAAAAAGUGCGGCGGCUCCGAGCUCCCCUUCGCCUUUUUUCUUUCUUUUCCUUUUCCCCCUCCUCCCUUCCCCUCUCCUCUCCUGGCGAGGGUGGCUGGGAGCCGGCGAAUCCGCGUUUUUUUUCUCUCUCUCCCUCCCUCUCCCC